AACCUUGCCUCUUUUAGUUCAGAAGCAGCCAUGUGGGAGAGGCGGCGGCUAGGGGGCGGGGUUUCUCCCUGGGUUUUUAAAGUCGCAAGGUUUUUCUUCCUCUUUUUCCUUGCUUCAGUGCAGCUCUCCAGCUCUGGGAGCGUUGUUUUUGGGCUGGGGGCUUUUUCCUUCAGAAGAAAAGGCGGUGUGAAUGGAGGAGGCUUGUAAGGGUCCCUUUUCCAACUCUGGAUUUGUCUCCUCUGUGGUUUUUUUUCUCCCGCUCUUCUCCCUCCGAUUUCUUUUUUUCUUGGAAACAAAGGAGGUGUGUGGAGGAGAGGGGUGGGGUUGUCCCCAAAAGUGAGACCCCAACAUUAAAGGAUCAGUUUUUGAAAUCUUUAAAAAGUUACGAUGCCAACCCUGGGCCAGCAAUUUCUCUUCUUCUUUUGAGAAAAACAAGUAGCAGUGCCAUGUGGAAUUACACUGGUGAGAAGUAUGAAUGAGAAUGCUGAUGGAUCAAUCAAACCGCACUGCUUUCUUUUGUAUAAGCAAUGAUCUCUGCCUGUGGCUUUCAAAGUUCAUCAGGGUUAUCCAAAGAUUGCUCCUUCCUCUCUCUCUCCCUCCUUCUGUUCUCUAGUAGGCAACAUAAAUCUAUCUCCUCCUUCCCUUUCCUUUCCCCUUUAAUUUCCCUCCCUCUUUCCCUUUCCUGCUUUCCCCUGGAAAAUGCUGGCCAUGAGGAAGAAGUGUGAAAUAUAAUUUUCUGCAGCCUGGAAUGGGGGAAAGAAUAUUGCUUUGUGUCGUGUCCCACUCCUCCGCUGACGGCCGGGUCAGGGAAAUCCGAAUCAGGCUUGCCUCUGCAGCUCUGCCCAAAGUCCUAGCAAAGUCCUCAGAGCAGGCAGGAGACCAAUCUUUCAUAAUUGAGGAAGAGGAGCAGAAGAAACCUUCCCCAAAAGCAAUAAAAAAGACUUUAUUGUAUCAAGUCAUAAUCUAAUCCUUAUCCUGGCCCUGGAUGUAGAAAAUAUUGGACCAGACCUCUCUCUCUUUCACCUUCAGCAAUGAAAAACACCAGAAGCUGAAGAGGAAGAAAACACGGCAGAGCGUUAUAGGAAGCCUGGCUACAUUAAGGAGCAGACUUGGUGGGGCUACUUAGGAAUCACUUGAUGAAGUGACAUAGAGCUUAUGAAGGCCAAUAGUACUAUCCUGUGAAGAUCUUUUGGAUUCCUGCUGGAGACCCAAGACCAUCUGGUGUCAGAGAUUGAGGGACCCUGCCACCCUUAAUAAAUUAUCAAUCAAUUAAAAUGUCCUAAGGCAAAUUUGACAGAGACUUGAAAUGAGAAAAGAGAAAGAGGGAUGAAGAACAUAUGGCUUUAGAAGUGAGAGAAAAAAGAUACAGUAUAUGAAAGAAUGCCGAAAAUCUUGUGUGGGUAUAUGAUAUCAGACAUAUUGGUGAAAUAUCAUAUCAACUGGAGUUGAAGUAUCAGGCUACAUUCCUGUAAUCUAUGUUUUGAGCUAUUUGUAAAACUGUAAAGCUUUAUAAAAGUAUUUUAAAAAACUACUUAUUUUAGUUACAAAGUUGUAAAACCUGUAAGAGCAUGAAAUGUCUCUUUUUUACCUACUAAUUCUAAUUAGAAUAAUAUUUUCAUGUUAACAACUUUUUAUAUGCAAACUGCUGUGUUAGUAAUAGAAACCCUCUCCCUGUAGAUUUCUCUGAAACCAGAACAAUUUUAGACUUUUAGACAAAGCUAAUGUUUUGGACAUCAUUUUAGCUAUGUUUGUCACAAUCAAGGCUACAAACUAAAACUAAUAAAAGGUAAUUUUAGGACUAGUAA